GUGCUGAGCGUGUACAUUUUUUCAUAGAAGUCAGCAAUUUCCAUCCGAGCCUAGCUUCUGGCCCAGGAAGGUCAUGCUGUGGUAGGCCUUCUCGGCGGCGGCCAGGUGCGCCAGCCCCGCCAGCAGGGCCAGCCAGCUGGCUCCCGCGCUCUUGUUGGCCUCACGUUCCUUCUCCACGUUGUCCUUGGCCUUAUCGUACGAGAAGAUGCCCAGGUGGGAGAAGAAAGUCUCCAGCACCGCCUGCUCCACCGGCACGGGCGCACCCAGCGG
rnacentral:lncRNA from 1 species